rnacentral:rRNA from 1 species
GGGGAAUAUUGCACAAUGGGCGAAAGCCUGAUGCAGCAACGCCGCGUGAGCGAUGAAGGCCUUUGGGUCGUAAAGCUCUGUCCUUGGGGAAGAAAAAAAUGACGGUACCCAAGGAGGAAGCCCCGGCUAACUACGUGCCAGCAGCCGCGGUAAUACGUAGGGGGCAAGCGUUGUCCGGAAUUAUUGGGCGUAAAGGGCGCGUAGGCGGGCCUUUAAGUCCGGUGUGAAAGAUCAGGGCUCAACCCUGAGAGUGCAUCGGAAACUGGAGGCCUUGAGGACAGGAGAGGAAAGUGGAAUUCCACGUGUAGCGGUGAAAUGCGUAGAUAUGUGGAGGAACACCAGUGGCGAAGGCGACUUUCUGGACUGUAACUGACGCUGAGGCGCGAAAGCGUGGGGAGCAAACA